rnacentral:rRNA from 1 species
GAUGAACGCCGGCGGCGUGCCUAAUACAUGCGAGUCGAGCGAACGGACGAGAAGCUUGCUUCUCUGAUGUUAGCGGCGGACGGGUGAGUAACACGUGGAUAACCUACCUAUAAGACUGGGAUAACUUCGGGAAACCGGAGCUAAUACCGGAUAAUAUUUUGAACCGCAUGGUUCAAAAGUGAAAGACGGUCUUGCUGUCACUUAUAGAUGGAUCCGCGCUGCAUUAGCUAGUUGGUAAGGUAACGGCUUACCAAGGCAACGAUGCAUAGCCGACCUGAGAGGGUGAUCGGCCACACUGGAACUGAGACACGGUCCAGACUCCUACGGGAGGCAGCAGUAGGGAAUCUUCCGCAAUGGGCGAAAGCCUGACGGAGCAACGCCGCGUGAGUGAUGAAGGUCUUCGGAUCGUAAAACUCUGUUAUUAGGGAAGAACACAUGUGUAAGUAACUGUGCACAUCUUGACGGUACCUAAUCAGAAAGCCACGGCUAACUACGUG